CUUCGUUCAGUAUUCAGUGAGAGACAAAGACAGAAUGACUCUUGUGUCAACUGUGUCUCCUAAAAGGAAAGCAGCCGUAGCUGGAAAGCUUCCUAUUUUAAAAUAUGACGCUUUUUCUCGGGUGGAUUCUUUUAGUUUAAACUAAAAUGAAUUAAAUAAACACAAAUUCGUCGAACUCUUUGCAGACCGAAUAACGUGGCUAGGCACCAUGCCUUUCGUACAUGGAACCUUAUGGGAAGAAGAGUCUGCCAAACUAAAUAAUGAAUGGAACGAAAUAAAUGCCGAUGAGUCCACGAUGAUACCCUUUACGUUUCCAUUGCCAAGAUACGUUCUAUAAAUAUUACAAUUUAUAAUAAUAUCCUUUAUAAAGUGUCAAAACUUAUAACACUAUAUUCAGAAUAUAUAUUAUAUAAUACAUAAUAUUGUGUUAUAAUUUAUGUAGCAGUUUAUUUCAAAAGAUGUACACUGAAUU